UAAAUAAAGAAAUAAAUUUCUACAGGAACUUAGAAAUAAAAUCAAAGUGAACAGCACAAGCCAUUUGAACUAGUUCUAUCUGAGUUUGCAAAAUGCAUGAAAAAACACCAGUAGGAUUUGAAACUUGCUACCAGCUAAAAUUGAUCCUUACCUGGAUAAUAACAUGUCGAGUCUGAAAUGGGCAUUUCUAAAUCCUUAAUUUAUCACUAAUAAAAUUAAGAAACCAUCUCAAGCUCAUGACUGAUCCAAACUAAACAAUUAAAUAUCCCUAACCAAAACUCAAAAACAUUUAUAGCCCUAUACUAACAGUUACCUGCAAUCUUCACUCGACCAU
rnacentral:misc_RNA from 1 species